ensembl:lncRNA
AUGGUGUUCUGAUUGCAAUCUAAAUUGAUGUCCUAUGUAUUUCUCUAUCAAAUUACUUUCUUGAUUUCAUUUUUUUGUUUGUUUAUUGUUUUGUUUUGUUUUUUCUUUGUUCUGGUAUUCCUUGCUUAGCUUUGCUCUUUUCUUUGCUACGACCUUAAACAACUUUCGUAAUUUCAGUUCAGUCCAGUGAGAUAAUUAUCAGGAUAGCAUUCAGUGAGAUUUCUUGUCAUGUGGAGCUACAUCUUUGCUUGUUUGACUGAACAAACCAAGCAUCCUGCUGAUUUCAUUUCUGUCUUUUCUUAGUUGAUCCUUCUGAGUGCAUUCUUAAGUAUGCCUCUGCUACACUUAGCUUAAAUAAUUGUAUUUUUUUUUUUUUUAACAGAUCUACAAAUGGAUUUUCCUAGUCUGAAACACCAGGAACAGACUACACUGGUUUUCCCCAGAAAGCUUUUCAAAAUUUCUUUGGAUAAUAAGAGAGAAGGAUGUGGUGACGGACCAUGUCAAAGGCCUUGCAGAAGUCCAGGUAGAUGACAUCCACCACUCUUCCCCCAUCCACCGAAGCCAUCGCUCCAUUGUAGAAGGCCACCAGAUUGGUCAGGUACGAUCUGCCCUUGGUGAAGCUAUGCUGGCUGUCUUGAAUCACCUCUAUAUCUUGUGUGUGCCUUAACGCAGCUUCUAGGAGGAUCUGCUCCAUGAUCUUCCCGGGCACAGAGGUGAGGCUCACUGGCCUGUAGUUCCCUGGGUCUUCCUUUCUCCCUUUCCUAAAAAUGGGAGUAAUGUUUCCCUUUUUUCAGUCACCGGGGACUUCACCAGAUAGCCAUGAUUUUCAAAUAUGACAGAGAGCAGCUUGGCAACCAUAUCAGCCAUCUCUUUCAGAACCCUAGGAUGGGUAUCAUCUGGCCCCAUGGAUUUAUACACGAUCAUGUUCACAAGGAGGACUCAGACUUGUUUCCACUGUUAUACUGGGACAGAAACCACUCCCCACACCCUCACCUAGAGGUUCAUGGUCCUGGCAGACACAGGAAGCCUGACCACCUAUGAAGACUGAGGCAAAGCACUCAUUGAGUACCCCAGCUUUUUUCUGUGUCUGAGGAAGCCAAGUCCCCGUAACCUUUCAUCAGAUGGGGAACACUCUCCUUGGCCUGUCUCUUCCUGCCUAUGUACCUGUAGACCCCUUCUUGUUAUCUUUCACAUCCCUUGCCAAGUUCAGCUCUAUCUGCACCUUGGCUUUCCUAAUCUUAUCUCUAUACACACAGACAACAGCCCUGUAUUCUUCCCAGGAUACACAACCCUGCUUCCACUUCCUGUACAUUUCCCUCUUUUCACUCAGUUUAAGGUGCGGGUCCUUGCACAGCC